GGAUAUGUUAAUAGCAUAUUCAUUUGACGUUAGCUGCAGAAGAAGCACCGGCUAACUCCGUGCCAGCAGCGCGGUAAUACGGAGGGUGCGAGCGUUAAUCGGAAUUACUGGGCGUAAAGCGCAUGCAGGUGGUUUGUUAAGUCAGAUGUGAAAGCCCGGGGCUCAACCUCGGAAUUGCAUUUGAAACUGGCAAACUAGAGUACUGUAGAGGGGGUAGAAUUUCAGGUGUAGCGGUGAAAUGCGUAGAGAUCUGAAGGAAUACCGGUGGCGAAGGCGGCCCCCUGGACAGAUACUGACACUCAGAUGCGAAAGCGUGGGGAGCAAACAGGAUUAGAUACCCUGGUAG
rnacentral:rRNA from 1 species